rnacentral:hammerhead_ribozyme from 1 species
AUCCAGCUGAGGAGUCCCAAAUAAGACGAAAUACUCGUCAAACUGGAU